UGACAAGAACACUCGACAGCGUCCUUCUCGUUUCUAUGGCAACGGUUUCCAACCAAAACCGCAAGACAUCAGCCAAUAGUGUGGCGUAGUAGCAGUAACGCUGCGGCCAUUUUGGAAACUGGAUCAUCAAAAAGAAGGCCACUUGGCUCUGCAUCCUCAGUAUUCUCAUCAGCAUGAUUCAAGGGCUGGAAAUACUUAAAGCUGUCAGCAGAUAAUGGUGGGGAUGGUGUUGAAGGAUUAGAGCAGUCACUGGGUGUAUUCCAACUCCAGCAACCACUACUGCUAGUGCUGGAUGAAACAACCCCCAGCUCUUUCCAAGACACAUUCAUAUCUGAGAAGAGAAACAUAAAAGCAUUUUAAUAUACACUCGGAUGUAGUAACUAUGAUUUGGCCAUAUAUGGCACCAUCUUCAAAGGAAUAUGUAAGAGGCUGUUUUCCUCCUUAUUUCAUAAUCUUGGAGCUGCCACGUUAAUGUAAGUCACACAUGAUAAAUGACUUAAUAUGGAGCAUGACACAUAGUUUGUGGGUAAAUGGCUAUAGGGGAGUAUUCCCUGUUGGAUGUUCAUAUAUAUCUAUUAUAUUAUUCUUACAACACACUUUGCAAGGAUAUAGGUAGCUUUACCAGUAAGUCGCAUAGGAGGGCUUCGAACCAAUGGACUUGUAGACAAACUGGUCAGUACAAUUGCAGCUGUCACUUUGUCCAUAUCUGCUUCACCUUCAAAUAUUCUAGAAUACAGUGGAAAACAUGUAUUUUUUAAAGGUAUGUUGCAAAUAUUUUGUGCACAUCAGCUAGCACAAUGGCCAAUUUAACAAAGAUUAUUAGCAGUUAUUUGGUCACGUAGCCAAUUAGAACCACACAUCUGAAGGUACAUUUGUUGAGAUACAUCAACAAUAAUAAUUGUAAUAAACACAAAUGUGGAUUAUGUUGAGUCAGUUGCACUCAAUACGACUAUGCAUGAACUUCUAGCUCCUAUGCAAUUUAUAGACUUUUAAAUUACAGGUGCACAUGAGCGUUAUCAUCAUAUGAAUGUUUUGCAUUAUAGUUCAUUAUCUGAUCAGUUUUAUCCAUUCUGCUCUGUUGUGUCUCAUUUUAA